CGUAAGAAAAGCUACGUUAGUUAAACGAACGUUAAAUGGCAAAAGGAAGUGUUGGGCAACGCCAGUGCUGGGCAACGUCGUUGCGGCCAUGCGGAAAAACUGGCUGCGCCGCCGCGGGCUAAUCAAUUACACAAAGUUGAGCGGGAAAAGGCAAGAACGAAAGAAAGGGGUAAUUUUCUUGACAAUUAAAUAUGCAAAUGCCGCUAAAUGUUUCUGUGUGUUUGGCAUUUAGCCCGGCCCCUGGCCCCGCGCACUAUUUAUCCAGCUCGUCUCUGACCCGGACCAAGAAAUACAAAAACAACAGUUCAACGCUACAAAUUUGACCCGUUCUUGUUUGGAAGCAAGACGCCUUGGAAUAUAUCGAAAUAUAUAUCAUAUUCUUGUUAAAUAAAUAAAACUUGAUAACACUUAUGUUAGCAAAGGAUUU